rnacentral:rRNA from 1 species
GGAAUUUUCCACAAUGGACGAAAGUCUGAUGGAGCAACGCCGCGUGCAGGAUGAAUGCCCUUGGGUUGUAAACUGCUUUUAUAAGUGACGAAUAUGACGGUAACUUAUGAAUAAGGACCGGCUAACUCCGUGCCAGCAGCCGCGGUCAUACGGAGGGUCCAAGCGUUAUCCGGAAUUACUGGGCGUAAAGAGUUGCGUAGGUGGCAUUGUAAGUAGAUAGUGAAAGCGUUCGGCUCAACCGAAUAAACAUUAUCUAAACUGCAAAGCUAGAGGGCGAGAGAGGUAACUAGAAUUCCUUGUGUAGGAGUGAAAUCCGUAGAUAUAAGGAGGAAUACCGAUGGCGUAGGCAAGUUACUGGCUCGUCCCUGACACUAAGGCACGAAAGCGUGGGUAGCAAAC